GGACGAACGCUGGCGGCGUGUCUAAUGCAUGCAAGUCGAGCGGGCUACGAUCUUCGGAUUGUAGCUUAGCGGCGAACGGGUGAGUAACACGUAGGUAAUCUACCCUUCAGAGGAGGACAACCUCAGGAAACUGAGGCUAAACCUUCAUACGUUCACUGGUAGGGAUACUGGUGAAGAAAGAGUUACCUUAGUGGUAGCUGCUGAAGGAUGAGCCUGCGGCCCAUCAGGUAGUUGGUGAGGUAACGGCUCACCAAGCCGAAGACGGGUAACCGGUCUGAGAGGAUGUCCGGUCACACUGGGACUGAGACACGGCCCAGACUCCUACGGGAGGCAGCAGCAGGGAAUCUUGGGCAAUGGGCGAAAGCCUGACCCAGCGACGCCGCGUGGAGGAAGAAGUCCUUCGGGGCGUAAACUCCUGGACUGGGGGACGAGGAAGGACGGUACCCCAGUAGAAAGGGACGGCUAACUACGUGCCAGNAGCCGCGGUAAAACGUAGGUCCCGAGCGUUGUUCGGAUUCACUGGGUGUAAAGGGCGCGUAGGUGGUUGUCUGUGUCUCAUGUGAAAACUCAGGGCUCAACUCCGAGAUGGCGUGGGAAACUAGGCAGCUAGAGGACGGUAGAGGGGAGUGGAAUUCCCGGUGUAGCGGUAAAAUGCGUAGAUAUCGGGAGGAACACCGGUGGCGAAGGCGGCUCUCUGGGCCGAUCCUGACGCUGAGGCGCGAAAGCUAGGGGAGCGAACCGGAUUAGAUACCCGGGUAGUCCUAGCCGUAAACGAUGGGUGCUAGGUGUUGGGGGGUAAAGACCCUUCAGUGCCGAAGCCAACGCGAUAAGCAUCCCACCUGGGGAGUACGGCCGCAAGGUUGAAACUCAAAGGAAUUGGCGGGGGUCCGCACAAGCAGUGGAGUAUGUGGUUUAAUUCGAAGCAACGCGAAGAACCUUACCAGGUCUUGACAUCCAACUAACGAGGUAGAGAUACAUUAGGUGCCCUUCGGGGAAAGUUGAGACAGGUGGUGCAUGGUUGUCGUCAGCUCGUGUCGUGAGAUGUUGGGUUAAGUCCCGCAACGAGCGCAACCCUUGCUAUUAGUUGCUACGCAAGAGCACUCUAAUAGGACUGCCGUUGACAAAACGGAGGAAGGUGGGGACGACGUCAAAUCAUCAUGCCCCUUAUGACCUGGGCUACACACGUACUACAAUGGCCAUAAACAAAGGGAAGCAAGACCGCGAGGUGGAGCAAACCCCAAAAAAUGGUCCCAGUUCGGAUUGUAGGCUGCAACCCGCCUAUAUGAAGUUGGAAUUGCUAGUAAUCGUGGAUCAGAAUGCCACGGUGAAUACGUUCCCGGGCCU
rnacentral:rRNA from 1 species